GACGAACGCUGGCGGCGUGCCUAACACAUGCAAGUCGAGCGAUGGAAUCCCUUCGGGGAUGGAUUAGCGGCGGACGGGUGAGUAACACGUGGGUAACCUGCCUCAAAGUGGGGGAUAGCCUUCCGAAAGGAAGAUUAAUACCGCAUAAUAAUUAUUUUUCGCAUGGAAGAUAAUUUAAAGGAUAUAUCCGCUUUGAGAUGGACCCGCGGCGCAUUAGCUAGUUGGUGGGGUAAUGGCUCACCAAGGCGACGAUGCGUAGCCGACCUGAGAGGGUGAUCGGCCACAUUGGAACUGAGACACGGUCCAGACUCCUACGGGAGGCAGCAGUGGGGAAUAUUGCACAAUGGGGGAAACCCUGAUGCAGCAACGCCGUGUGAGUGAUGAAGGUCUUCGGAUUGUAAAGCUCUGUCUUUUGGGACGAUAAUGACGGUACCAAAGGAGGAAGCCACGGCUAACUACGUGCCAGCCGCCGCGGUAAUAC
rnacentral:rRNA from 1 species